rnacentral:rRNA from 1 species
UCGGGAAUUUUGGGCAAUGGGCGAAAGCCUGACCCAGCAACGCCGCGUGAAGGAUGAAGUAUUUCGGUAUGUAAACUUCGAAAGAAUAGGAAGAAUAAGUGACGGUACUAUUUAUAAGGUCCGGCUAACUACGUGCCAGCAGCCGCGGUAAUACGUAGGGACCAAGCGUUGUUCGGAUUUACUGGGCGUAAAGGGCGCGUAGGCGGCAAUUCAAGUCAUCUGUGAAAUCUCCGGGCUUAACUCGGAACGGUCAGAUGAUACUGCUUUGCUAGAGUGUAGAAGGGGCAAUCGGAAUUCUUGGUGUAGAGGUGAAAUUCGUAGAUAUUGGGAAGAACACCAGUGGCGAAGGCGGCUAACUGGUCCGGUACUGACGCUGAGGUGCGAAAGCGUGGGGAGCAAACAGGAUUAGAUACCCGGGUAGUCCCUGAGCGGGCUGGCAAGGCGCAU